AUGGACCUGGACGGCUUCCCUCUCGACCAUGAGUUUCUGGAGGACUACGGGCUAGAGGAAGAGGACGAGUGCGACAUCGAAGGGGAGCCUUUGUUCGAGGACGAGCUCACCAACAAAGCCGCCGGUCCAAAGCCGAAGCGCAAGAGCAAGCGGACCAAGGCAUACAUGGCGGCCGAGGACAAGCUUCUUUGAGAGUGUUGGAGAGACAUUGGGCAAGACCCCAAGACGGGCGCCGAACAAAAGCAUUCAAACUUUUGGAUUCGUGUCCACCGUGAGUUCCAUGAGCGCAAGAAGUUUCUGUCAUACCAAAUAGUAAGCGCACGCGGGUGGGUGUCCAUUUCGAAGCGAUGGAGGGUGAUCCGACAAGAGUGCAACAAGUUUUGUGCCACUCUUGAGAGCGUCAAGGCCCGCCCCGUGAGCGUCAUCGGCAUGCAAGACAUGGUAUGCUAG
rnacentral:rRNA from 1 species